rnacentral:rRNA from 1 species
GUUAACACUCAACCCUAUAUUAAAUUGACUAAAAAAACCAUUUAUAUGCUAACUUUAAUAUUAAUCUAAUAAACUAAAAGUACUGAAAAGGAAAUAACAUCAAUCUAAAGUAGUGACAACCCACGUACCUUGUGCAUUAUGGUUUUACAAGCUAAAAAUUAAAAAUAUAUUCCCGAAUCCUACGCGAGCUGCCCCUAUAUAGCUAUAGAGCCCACUACUAGUUGUAGCAACAACUUUAGAAAAUAUUUUGGCAGAGGCUACAUACCACACGCGCUAGAAAAUCGCUGGUUUUCAAUAAAAUUUAUUAAUUAAAACAUGUAGUACUCCUACAGUGUAAGAUUUCAGAGGAUAAGCCCUGUAAUCCCAAGCUAUCCUUUAAUAUUUCAGCAACAUAUAGGCCUAAAAACAGCCAUCACAAGUACUUCACCGUAUCAAAUAAUAUAUAAUAACUGAGCUAAUAUGCCUACAUUAACUGAAAUUUAGGUUAAAUCCUAAAUCCUAAAAUAAUCUGUAAAAAUAAGUAUUAGAAAACAAAUAAAUAUCAACCUUAAAAUAAAUCCUCAAAUUAACAAAUAAACACUUAUAAAGGAACUCGGCAAACUCUUAUUUCGACUGUUA